CAGGUGGGAGCAUACCAUGUACUCUUCUGUACCUUGGUGUCUUUCAAUUAUGUAAUUUGGGAGACUUUCCAGACCAGAACGUGGAGAUCAACCUCAUUUCCAGUGCUGCAUGGUAUUUCAGGACAGCCUUCGCGGCAGCCGAAUGCAACUUUUACUAUCUCUGGAUGGGAGUCUGGUUUUGAAAUCCGAAGUCUGGGGAAAGUGUUGAGAAAUCAUGACUACACUCCUCGGCACUUUGCUGUGUUCCAUCCACCCCACUCCUCAGUCUCGGUAUGCAGCCUUUCCAUUGGGAAGAGCUCCAACCUAGAGCAUCCCCAUGGCUACAGGGGAAGAGGGAAGAAGAGAAGCAGGAGGGGCAGAAGGAAGAAGAAAGCAAAUACGCCUCUGCCCUGCAAGUGAGAUGAAGGUUUGGAUUGCACUGAGUGGGGGAGACAGCUCAUCACCAAGACCAGUGGUACUUGGGGCUUCAAGGUCACUGUUGCAUUUACAACUGGAGAGCCCAAGAGAAAAAAAAAAAAAUCAACUGAAGAGCUUGGAAUCACAAAACAUGUGGAAUGUUCAGAAUCGCAUGCUCCAUGGGCUGGAGCAUUUUUUCUUCUCUCUGACCAUCCAGCGAAAGAAGAGAAAUGAUCUGGAAACAAUGCCACGUGAAACUUGGUUUACUUAUGAGGCCAAAAGAGAAUUGCAUUUCUCGUUAUGUAAGAAACUAGAGCUUAAAGACCUGUUCAGGUUGUAGCCUAACAAGUGUGAAGAUUUUUCAGGGGCAGAAGGGGUAUAUUUGAGGGAGCCAUGCCUUAUUAGAGAGCCCUUUUCCUCUGUCCCUCAUAACCCGGAAAAGUACAUGCUGCUGGAAUUUCACCCCGAACAAACUACCACAUUUGACUAAGCCAACUCUCUCUCCACUCUUCCCGCCGGCCUGUCCAAGUAAGCUCAGUUUUCUCGUGCAACAUCACUCCAAGCCUUUUUUUUUUUUUUUUAUAGAAUCCGCCUAUUUUUUCACUUUUGUUUAUUUUUGCCCCAAAGCCUUUGGCAUUUCCCUCCAGUGAGUCACACUAUGGGACCAUUUCAAAAUGAUCUGACAGGAUGUUUCUCUUCCCAGGGAAGAUGGGAAAUGGGUAAAUGACAGCCUGUCCCAAGAUGUUACUGUGUUGUGUGCGGGGAUUUUAAUAAAGAUGCCAUCUCACUUGCCAUCAAAGCCACUUGAUGGAUGGACUUGCAGGGAGACAGUCUUCUAGAUCUUUCCCUGAUUCCACAGAGAUAAGAUGGGAAAACGAAAGCAAGGGUGUUAGGGGUUUAUUCGUAUCAGUUGACUAUGGGAAUCAGUCCUUUUACUUCCUCCGUUACAGAAGUUUAGGAUAGGCAUUUGAGAACUCAGAUUUUGCAACAAAAUUAUUGAACUAUCGGAGGUGGGAGGUUACAGAUAAGAGAAGGCAGACGCAGGGUGUGCUAGGACCCUCACCAUCCCCCGGGGCACUUAUGCUUAUUCUUCAAGCCUUUGCCUCUGGAAAGCCUCCAGCCUCCGCCCCCCACCCCGCCCCAGUGUGGAAAACUCCUUCUCCCCAGAAGUAGCCACUCCCUCUUCUCUGCUCCCAAAGGGCUUUGUACUUUCUUCUACUAGAGUACUUGGCACUCUGGGAUUAUGGUCAUGUAUACAGUGGUCACCCACCUUGCCCCCAUUUCGAGGGGCAGGGAAGUGGGCCAAAUUCAUCUUGUUAUCUUCGCCACCCAGAACAGGUCCUGUCGUAUAGAAGGUCUAAUAGGGCACAUCCUAAUAUAAGGUGGUGAGCGUGUAUGGGCCAGGGAUUCAGGGGCAUUUCUGUUCAUAAUGCUGACAUGGGUAUCUGGGUUUUCCUAAUCUCUUCAGACAACACCCCUCCUCCCCUGUCCUCAGUUCUCUCAGCCUCUUCUUUCCCUUUUCCGGAACCUUGAUUCAUGUCAGAAAAUAUAAAGUACCAGCAAAAAUUACUAGAUAUGCAGCAUUCUAAUAGCAAGAACCAUUACAGUAUGCAAGAAUACCAAACACAUCUGUGCAGGUCGCUGUGUUUCGGCCGGGGCUGCACACUUCCUGCGUGAUGAUGGCGUGGAACGGGCC